GCCUUCAGAAAAGUUAUGGUUCUUGUGAAUGUUGAGAACAGCUCCCAAAGGGAUUGACCACCCAUUUUUGGAAGAGCCGCCAGCAGUCAACCAACCAGAACACGUUUUGACUGGGAUGGUGUUGAAGGGGAAAAACUGAGAACU
ensembl:ncRNA C29A12.12 ncRNA